rnacentral:lncRNA from 1 species
GAAUGGUCCCGAGGGUCCAUUGUCUCCUUCAGCAGUACUGCCUCCCUGCACCCCCUUCUUGCUCUUCAGCCCUUCUAGAGAAAGCCAGGCUCAUAUCUUCUUUAUCCUCAGUGAGAACUCUUUGGCGCUUGCCUGAAGCUCCUGACUCAUAGGAAGUUUCUUGUUGUCACUGAGGAUCCAGUGAAGUAGACUCCCUCGGUGAGGCUGGCUUGACAAGCAGUGUGUUUUCAGUAGUCAGCUGAUUGAUGGUUUAGUUCAAUCCUUU